AUCUUUGUUUGAAGUCAAAUAAACUUCUCUUUGUGUAGUAUCUGUUCUUAUCAGCUUAGCUUAAUAUCUGAUACGGAUCCUAUUUGGAUCCAAGAUAUUAAACUUAUUUUUGUGAUGCGGCGGAGUGCUUGAAGCUUGCUUCACCUCCGCCACGGGUUGGCCCGGUAUUGCACUACCUCCGGGAUCGGCCCACUCACC
rnacentral:snRNA from 1 species